rnacentral:rRNA from 1 species
GAUGAACGCUGGCGGCGUGCCUAAUACAUGCAAGUCGAGCGAACAGAUAAGGAGCUUGCUCCUUUGACGUUAGCGGCGGACGGGUGAGUAACACGUGGGUAACCUACCUAUAAGACUGGCAUAACUCCGGGAAACCGGGGCUAAUGCCGGAUAACAUUUAGAACCGCAUGGUUCUAAAGUGAAAGAUGGUUUUGCUAUCACUUAUAGAUGGACCCGCGCCGUAUUAGCUAGUUGGUAAGGUAACGGCUUACCAAGGCAACGAUACGUAGCCGACCUGAGAGGGUGAUCGGCCACACUGGAACUGAGACACGGUCCAGACUCCUACGGGAGGCAGCAGUAGGGAAUCUUCCGCAAUGGGCGAAAGCCUGACGGAGCAACGCCGCGUGAGUGAUGAAGGUCUUCGGAUCGUAAAACUCUGUUAUUAGGGAAGAACAAAUGUGUAAGUAACUGUGCACGUCUUGACGGUACCUAAUCAGAAAGCCACGGCUAACUACGUG